CCGAGUACAUUUCAGCAGGCC
rnacentral:siRNA from 1 species